rnacentral:rRNA from 1 species
GACAGAGGUUGCAAACGUUGUUCGGAAUCACUGGGCGUAAAGCGCACGUAGGCGGCUCUCUAAGUCAGGGGUGAAAUCCUGGAGCUCAACUCCAGAACUGCCUUUGAUACUGGCGAUCUCGAGUCCGGGAGAGGUGAGUGGAGCUGCGAGUGUAGAGGUGAAAUGCGCAGAUAUCAGGAAGAACACCCGUGGCGAAGGCGGCUCUCUGGGACGGUACUGACGCUGAGACGCAAAAGCGUGGGGAGCGAACAGG